ensembl:lncRNA
ACCCUUACUGGACAAAUGGAUGACCAAGGGUGCAUGGACUACCCUAUGGAGGACCUUGGUGAAGCAGUGGAGAAAAGAGGACAUUCCCUCUAUCAAAGUGAAGACAUCCAAGAACUUAUGAGUCAGCACUCAACACUGACGCUGCGCAUCAACCAGCUCUUGUCCAGGUGUGCAGAGUUCAGCAUGGACAUUCUGGACACUGAGACGGACAUGGCAGUCAGAUGUGAGCCCUAUAGUUCUGAACUCGAGGGACUGCAGGAGCAACAGGAUGAGCUAGAGAGGGACUAUCAGGUCAUAAAAGAGGAGGUGGAAGAGAUGGAGGGACUGGCUUUGCGACUACAGGUCCUCCUACCUGAAAUGCCAGGGGCUUUGGGGGAGGACAUCCAUGCGACCCAGCACGCUUGGGAGGAGUUGGGCUUGAGCAUGGCAGAGAACCAAUGCAACCUCCAACAAUUUCAGCAACUGCAAGACUUUCUUAGGGCCUACCUGGCCAUGAUGUGAGCAAUUACACAUACAGUAUGAUGUCAAAUAUUGUUCUUGGUACAAUUGGUUCUUGAUACAACUGAAAUGUUGUGCCUGUUUUGUCCUGAAUAAUGCACAUGUAUAUGUUUAGUGCUCAUGAAUAUGCUUAUUAUGUUUAUUGUAAUAACCACAAUGUGCUUACUGAGCCCCUUCUCUCUCUCUCUCUCUCUCUCUCUCUCAUAUGUCUCCCCUACAGCUCAUGGACAGAGGACACACAGACUUGCAUUUUCUCAGAGGCUUCAGUCCAGCAGUGGAGCUUGGCAGAAUUGAGUGUUCCAUCUGAGCUGGAUCUGAGGAUAGAGCAGAAGUUUGACGAGUUUGACAAGCUCGCUGCUGCUGGGCAGAAGAUUAUCAAGGAGCGACAUCACUUGGCAGAUAUUAUAAAGGAGAGGACUGAGGAACUACAAAGCAUUCUGGGAUGGAUCCUGGUAUACUGGAGGGCACAGAAAGACCAGCUGGGUCAGGAGAGGCCAAGCGAUUCAAGAAGAAGUGAUGCCCCUCAAGGAGACGCAACCAGAUUUUCACAAGGUCAACCCCAGAAUCUAUCCUCUCUGGCAGAACACAAGUCCUCUGAAAGCCUGUCCACAAAGCACAGGCUCAUGGUGGCGAGCCAGUUUGAAGGACCACAAAAAUCCCAACCAGGGAUAGGUCACCAUGAAGAAAACUUUGCCAAUCCAGUAAACGUAACACGACACGUCCCCUUGGCUGUGGUAGUAAACUCGCCCAGCAUUAUCCUUGAAGAGCCCUGUGCUACUGUCACCCCACUGGGCAGCAGCAUCAACCUCAUCCUCAGUUUUGACCAACAGCCACCAGGGGGCGAUCUGCAACAGGGGCCAGUGGAGCCAAAGCAGGCAGGGGAACCUGUGCAUAGGGUGAGCACCUAUCUGCAAGUCACAGAUGGAAGUCCUGUUUUUGAAGACGUGGCAUCGUCUCAUGUUACUGACACGAGCCACGUGUCAACCACCUUUUCCACAAGCUCAAUCAACGCUACUUUCAUUCCCCAAGUCAGGACUGUCUUGCUCCCCACCUUACCCAGAACCAGUUCCACCUCUACCUUAAACCUGAAGGGACCGAUGAAGAGGAAGAAAAUGACACACAGACACACUGUGACUGGAAUUGUCGCAAUGCCCAAGCCAGAGGGGGUUACUACCGCGCCCACCAAUGUCAAACACAGGGCUUACACCUGGCCACUGGAGGAUAAGAAGGAAUGUCAUGCCACACAAGGGAGUCCAGGUAAUACAGAACUCCAACUGUAUAUCAAAAAUAAUUCUGUGGUGAGUGUCAUGGAUGGCAACUCUUCAGGCACGUCAAGCAUUCCUACCAUCCAGGGGCAUUUCUUGCAUGGGCCCAAUGAGAUGACCAUUAGGCAAGACAAGAGCCACUAUGGCAUUAUCCAUCUUGGGUCGAUGUUGAGUUUUGACCUGACUACGGAUUGGGGGAAAAUCUCACAGAUAAAUGCAAAAGACCUCACAACUGAGAAAGUGCCUUUUGAAGCCAAUGGAGACCAUGCCAGUCCACCUUUGAAUCUGUACAGACCAUCAGGCUCAAACACACUCGGUCAGACUCAAGUAUCGUCCAAAGUAAUUGGACAGACUUUUGCCCUCAGUCCAGAAAAGGAAAGGCAUCUUGAAGCUGAUGGGGACUGUAGACCGUCAGGCUCAAAUACACUCAGUCUAACUCAGAAAGUGAUUGGGCAGAAUUUCACCCUCAGUCCAGGGGAGGAAAGUAUCUGCGAAACAGUGGACUUUGCUGUUCAAAAUUGUUCACCUUUGAAUCUAUACAAAUUGGCAGACUCAAAUACACUCAGUCAGACUCACAAAGUGAUUGGACAUACUUUUGCCCUCAGUCCAAAAGAAGAAAAGAGCUGUGAAGUAGCUAGGCAGGACUCGCAGAAGGUCAGCUCAGAGUCUGUUUCUCUUUUGGUUCAGUGUCUCUCUCUACCUGAGAAAGACAACGUCUAUCACGACCUAAGAAGCACCACAAGGAGUCCUGCCCUUGCUGCUGGACAUGAGAACAUUUUCUCCAGCACUGUUGGCAUCCACCAUGAGGAUACGGUCGAGAUUUCCAUUCCAGUGGCUAUUUUGGACUCUAACAAGCAACGCACUGAAUCAAACUGCAGCAGCUCGAUGAUGCAUGACCACGCCCGCACUGAACCAUCACAGAACCACAACUGUUUAAGUGUUCACACUAAGAUUCAAGACCUCAAUAACCACAUAUACUUCCCUUCUGCAAAGAGGCAAUUCGCUUUCCAAAGUGACCUUCGAGUUGUAGAGAUCAAGGGCUUGUCUACUGGGUCUGAAGACUCCACAUGGAUGGGUGUGCGCAGUUCUGGACGAGUCAUUGUGUGCUCUGAGGACAACUGUUGCAUAUGCUCCGACAGUCCGGCACCUAUGAUGGUAUUGGAAAAAGAAACUUCACCCAAAAGAGAACCAGAUCAUAUUCAUCCUGAUCAUUGGCAGUUUGAGGAGGAGGAAGAGGAGCUGGAGGAUAUUUGGAAUUGCACAGCCCGGGAAAGAGCACCUUGAAUUACUGUGGUCCAAAAAUCUGAG